GCAAAUUACCCACUCCCGGCACGGGGAGGUAGUGACGAAAAAUAACGAUACGGGACUCAUCCGAGGCCCCGUAAUCGGAAUGAGCACACUUUAAAUCCUUUAACGAGUAUCCAUUGGAGGGCAAGUCUGGUGCCAGCAGCCGCGGUAAUUCCAGCUCCAAUAGCGUAUAUUAAAGUUGUUGCGGUUAAAAAGCUCGUAGUCGGACUUGUGUCACACGCUGCCGGUUCACCGCCCGUCGGUGUUUAACUGGCAUGCACGUGCUGACGUCCUGCCGGUGGCCCGAGCCGGUCCGGGAUCUCUGGGUGCGGGAUUCCCUCCGGGGGCUCGCCUCGAGCCCGGUUCUUGGGGAGGGCCUACUCAUACCCCUCGCGGUGCUCUUAACCGAGUGUCUCGAUGGCCGGCACGUUUACUUUGAACAAAUUAGAGUGCUUAAAGCAGGCAGCAUCCGCCUGAAUACUGAGUGCAUGGAAUAAUGGAAUAGGACCUCGGUUCUAUUUUGUUGGUUUUCGGAAUCCCCGAGGUAAUGAUCAAUAGGGACAGACGGGGGCAUUCGUAUUGCGACGUUAGAGGUGAAAUUCUUGAUGUCGCAAGACGGACCGAAGCGAAAGCAUUUGCCAAGAAUGUUUUCUCUGAUCAAGAACGAAAGUUAGAGGUUCGAAGGCGAUCAGAUACCGCCCUAGUUCUAACCAUAAACGAUGCCAGCCAGCAAUCCGCCGAAGUUCCUCCGAUGACUCGGCGGGCGGCUUCCGGGAAACCAAAGCUUUUGGGUUCCGGGGGAAGUAUGGUUGCAAAGCUGAAACUUAAAGGAAUUGACGGAAGGGCACCACCAGGAGUGGAGCCUGCGGCUUAAUUUGACUCAACACGGGAAACCUCACCAGGCCCGGACACCGGGAGGAUUGACAGAUUGAGAGCUCUUUCUUGAUUCGGUGGGUGGUGGUGCAUGGCCGUUCUUAGUUGGU
rnacentral:rRNA from 1 species